AACGAACGCUAGCGGGAUGCUUCAAACAUGCAAGUCGUACGGGAAAGCCCUUUCGGGGGUUAGUAUAGUGGCGCACGGGUGCGUAAUACGUAGCUAACGUACCCCUUCGCUGGGGAUAACUCCGGGAAACCGGAACUAAUACCGAAUAGUCUAAAAAGAACUUAGGUUCAUUUUGGUAAAGCUGUAAAGCGCGAAGGGAUCGGGCUGCGGCCCAUUAGCUUGUUGGUGGGGUAAUGGCCUACCAAGGCAAUGAUGGGUAGCUGGUCUGAGAGGAUGAUCAGCCACACUGGAACUGGAACACGGUCCAGACUCCCACGGGAGGCAGCAGUUGGGAAUAUUGCACAAUGGGGGAAACCCUGAUGCAGCAAUCCCGCGUGAGUGAUGAAGGCCCUCGGGUCGUAAAGCUCUUUUAGCAGGGAAGAACACAAUGACGGUACCUGCAGAAAAAGCACCGGCUAACUACGUG
rnacentral:rRNA from 1 species